rnacentral:rRNA from 4 species
CCCCAGGUCAGGCGGGACCACCCGCUGAGUUUAAGCAUAUCAAUAAGC